rnacentral:rRNA from 1 species
UAGAGUUUGGUCAUGGCUCAGGAUGAGCGCUCACGGCGUGCUUAACACAUGCAAGUCCCACGGUGAAGCCAAGCUUGCUUGGUGGAUCAGUGGCGAACGGGUGAGUAACACGUGAGCAACCUGCCCUGGACUCUGGGAUAAGCGCUGGAAACGGCGUCUAAUACUGGAUAUGAGACGUGAUCGCAUGGUCGUGUUUGGAAAGAUUUUUCGGUCUGGGAUGGGCUCGCGGCCUAUCAGCUUGUUGGUGAGGUAAUGGCUCACCAAGGCGUCGACGGGUAGCCGGCCUGAGAGGGUGACCGGCCACACUGGGACUGAGACACGGCCCAGACUCCUACGGGAGGCAGCAGUGGGGAAUAUUGCACAAUGGGCGAAAGCCUGAUGCAGCAACGCCGCGUGAGGGAUGACGGCCUUCGGGUUGUAAACCUCUUUUAGCAGGGAAGAAGCGAAAGUGACGGUACCUGCAGAAAAAGCGCCGGCUAACUACGUGCCAGCAGCCGCGGUAAUACGUAGGGCGCAAGCGUUAUCCGGAAUUAUUGGGCGUAAAGAGCUCGUAGGCGGUUUGUCGCGUCUGCUGUGAAAUCCCGAGGCUCAACCUCGGGCCUGCAGUGGGUACGGGCAGACUAGAGUGCGGUAGGGGAGAUUGGAAUUCCUGGUGUAGCGGUGGAAUGCGCAGAUAUCAGGAGGAACACCGAUGGCGAAGGCAGAUCUCUGGGCCGUAACUGACGCUGAGGAGCGAAAGGGUGGGGAGCAAACAGGCUUAGAUACCCUGGUAGUCCACCCCGUAAACGUUGGGAACUAGUUGUGGGGACCAUUCCACGGUUUCCGUGACGCAGCUAACGCAUUAAGUUCCCCGCCUGGGGAGUACGGCCGCAAGGCUAAAACUCAAAGGAAUUGACGGGGACCCGCACAAGCGGCGGAGCAUGCGGAUUAAUUCGAUGCAACGCGAAGAACCUUACCAAGGCUUGACAUAUACGAGAACGGGCCAGAAAUGGUCAACUCUUUGGACACUCGUAAACAGGUGGUGCAUGGUUGUCGUCAGCUCGUGUCGUGAGAUGUUGGGUUAAGUCCCGCAACGAGCGCAACCCUCGUUCUAUGUUGCCAGCACGUAAUGGUGGGAACUCAUGGGAUACUGCCGGGGUCAACUCGGAGGAAGGUGGGGAUGACGUCAAAUCAUCAUGCCCCUUAUGUCUUGGGCUUCACGCAUGCUACAAUGGCCGGUACAAAGGGCUGCAAUACCGUGAGGUGGAGCGAAUCCCAAAAAGCCGGUCCCAGUUCGGAUUGAGGUCUGCAACUCGACCUCAUGAAGUCGGAGUCGCUAGUAAUCGCAGAUCAGCAACGCUGCGGUGAAUACGUUCCCGGGUCUUGUACACAC